rnacentral:tRNA from 1 species
GGCUUUAGUGGUAUGUGCUGGUUUUGAAAACCGGUUAAGGAUGUUCGACUCGUCUGAAAGCUU